rnacentral:tRNA from 1 species
GGGGGUAUAGCUCAGUGAUACAGCGUGUGCUUAGCAUACAUGAGGUCCUGGGUUUAAUCCCUAGUACCUCCA